GGGCGAAUGGUUUAGUGGUAUAAUACUUCUUUAGCAUAGAAGUGGUCCAGGGUUCGAGUAAGCAUCUCCCAUACCCUUA